rnacentral:rRNA from 1 species
UGGGGAAUAUUGGACAAUGGGGGAAACCCUGAUCCAGCAAUGCCGCGUGAGUGAAGAAGGCCUUAGGGUUGUAAAGCUCUUUCGCCCGCGAAGAUAAUGACGGUAGCGGGAGAAGAAGCCCCGGCUAACUCCGUGCCAGCAGCCGCGGUAAUACGGAGGGGGCUAGCGUUGUUCGGAAUUACUGGGCGUAAAGCGUACGUAGGCGGAUGCGCAAGUUGGGGGUGAAAUCCCGGGGCUUAACCUCGGAAUUGCCCUCAAAACUGCACGUCUUGAGACCGAGAGAGGUAAGGGGAAUUCCUAGUGUAGAGGUGAAAUUCGUAGAUAUUAGGAAGAACACCAGUGGCGAAGGCGCCUUACUGGCUCGGUACUGACGCUGAGGUACGAAAGCGUGG